UUCUGAAUGUAGAAUUUGAAAGCAAUGUAAAUCACUAAUUAUAUUAUCAUAAAAGGAGAUGGAGAAACCUAAAUAGGACGGUAGGAAACAAGCAAGGUCACUUGUAAAAAAAUUCAAAGAAUAAAACUGCGAAGAAUCUGUUUUCUAAAAAACAUUGCAUUGUUGGGGCGCCUGGGUGGCUCAGUUGGUUAAGCAUCCGACU